ACGCGUUCCGCAUCCAAUCCUACCCUCGCCUCGUCCCACUCCCACUCCAGCCGCCAGACAAACCCUAGCUCCCUUUCCUAUCCACACAACCUCUUCCUCCCCGCAUCACCACAGCUGCCGCUGUGGAGCCUCGCGGACGCCUGCUAUUACUCCUCCCUCGUCUCUGUCUGGUCGCCCUCUCGUGCUCCACCAUGCAGCCGCCUCUUCCUCCUCUAUUCCCUCCUACCGUGGUUCCGGAUCGGGUGCAGGCCGUCAUACUGGAGAGCAUGAGCGUCAAGGUCUUAAUGGUGGGGUGGAGAUGCAGGGGAGGUAGGGAUGUCGGAUGGAUCUGACGCCUGCUGGCUAAAGCAGCAGGAGUUGGCAGAGCGACGGAUGCGGACGCGGUCAUCAACAGGGGUUGCAAGAGAAGGAGCUCAAGUUGGUUCACGGUGUGCAGGAGGAGUUGAAGGCUGAGGUUGUUUGACGGCCGGACCAGCAAGAGCAAGGAGCCAACGGUGGUCAAUUUCUUGCAUCCCAUCCUGGACUCUAAAGGCUAUAGUUUGACCUUUUGCUUUAAUGAAUGGUUUGGGAUGGAAUUGUUGGAUAUCCAAAUGUUUGUGAAUUAUCCUUGAUUAAUUGCUUGCUAAAACAAAGAAUGCAUCCAGCAGCACCUCGACCAGGUGUCACAAGAGAACUGAAAUGAUGGAUUUCCGUAUUGUUCAGCAGGAUAUCCCUGACGAUCACAGGGAACGCUCCAAACAAAAGAAAAUAAUUGUAUCAGCCUGCAAAGCGUAAAUGCUGGACUAUUGUUUCUCCCCUGAUGCACAUGUUUCUCCACAGACAAUAUCAUGUGUGUGUGUGUGUGAUCUCUGGAAUUAGUUUUUAGGUUAUUCUUUGUGUUGAGUACUUCUGUAAUUUCCAUGGGCGAGUUUCAUAUUUUCUGUGCAUUGUCUAUCAUUCUUUUAAGUGUUUAAUGUUUCUUGUAGUUUUUGAUAUUUCGUUUCAGUCAUGUUUCAUUUGUCGCAGACCUACACCUAUUAGGAAAAGCAUAGUUUCAUUUUGAUCAUGUUUCUUUUAGUUGUUCAGUGUUUGUUCAUUAAUGUAGCAGAGUAAGCAGUACAUUUUGUCCAUUAGUUAAAUCACUCAUGUCACAUUCAGUUGAUUAGGUUCAGUUUUUGUUCCUUUCUUCUUCGUUCCUUCAAUUUUUUGUCCCUUUAUUUAGUCAUCGUGCUUGCACCAUUUGUCGGUAUUUAAGUCAAUAUAACUAUUUAGUCCAUCUCAAUGGACCCUUAUAAUUCUUGAUAGUUUCUCUCUUCAAUAGAUCAGACUUUUCUGCUUUUUCAGUUAGGCUAAUUUAUGAUUUCUAUUUCAGUUUUUAGUCUUCACUUGAUUUAGUUGGACAGUGUGUUCAGUAUUUCAAUAGUUCAGUUGUUUCAUUGAUUGACAUGUGCAUUCUCGUACUUAGUGAAGCAUCUUAAUGCAUUUUCGUACUCUGUGAAGCAUCUUAAUUUGAUUGAUAUGUGCAUUCAGUUGAGAACUCAAGAAGUAGAACAACUGUGUUUCACUUCUUCAGAUGGUAAUUUUUAUCGGUUAUAGACUUAUAGUUACAAUUACUAGAAGUAGCAAAGGUCUGGGUUUGUUUAGACCUUGAGUUGGUAGCUAUGCUUUUUUGUUUCAGAUCAUAUGUUGGUACUUCAUUUUACUCAGAUUAUAUGAAGGUGAGUGUAAUUGUGUGAUCUGGAUUAGGACGCAAUGAAAUUCAGAAGUAGUAGAAGUACACUGUUUUUUACUUUCUUUCAGAAUGAUUACUACAGAAGUACACCGCUGCAUGGUAAAUUAUUGCCAUGGCCUCAAUGGUAGGUUGUACCUGAUAGUUAUAUAUCCUACGAGUACCGGAUGGUUAACAUCCUCACCUGACAGGUAUAGAUUCCACAUAGUAGCCUAGCAGUGCAUGGAAAAACUAGGUUCAGUCCGAAGUCUGAACUCCUGAAGAAGCAAAAGCCAAAAAAUAGAGAUCAGACGACUAAAUAUGAGAGUGCAUCUUCUCCUUUUUUUGUCUUUUUUGUUGAGUGUGCAUCUUCCAACCUGGCUGUAGCCUGUAGGCUAUAAUCAACUCAAUUUUGUUUUCUCCAUGUGAUAGCCAGGACGACCACUUUUACAUUCAUCUUUUUGUUUGUGAAUUCAGUUUCUAUUAUUGCAACUGCACGCUCCAGUCAUGCUGAAUACAUGGGUACAUUUAGUAGAAGGACAUACAGAUUUAAGUUAUGCUCCUCAUUCAACUUUUGUCACACUUGUUCAGUAAUCAGUACAACUCAUUCUGCUUCAGGAUGGAAGCUUCGAAUGGCUAGCAGAACCGAGGCCGCAGGGACACCGUCGCAUUGAGGUAGUGCCAUGGCCGUAGGUGCUGAUGUCGCAUGGGCAGAACCGCGGCCGCGGGAUCUCUGCUGUGUAGUGCCACAGGCUUUGACUCGGUGUUGCGUGAUGGAAGAGCAGUGGUAAAGUUCGACAGCAUUGAAGCGAGAUGUGAGAUCCCAGCGCUCCAAAUGAUGGGUCGUGGCCGUUGGAGGGCCAACAGAGGACAAGGGCUAACAACCGGUGGUGGAGGGAGAGUCUGAGAAAUCAUGAGCUUUUUCCUUCUAUGAAAAGUGAUAAAGUUACAACAUAGUUUUCUCAAAGGUGUGCAUCAGUGCAGAUUGAGCAAGGCACAAUCUGAGAAGAAAAACAAAAAAUUAGAAACAGUGCAUCAUGUGUAUGUUUGUGAGCGGCGCCGUUGGGGGCCUGGUUGUGGCGCAGCCCUUCGGCGUGGUGCCCUCUUGCGUUGCCGCUAUGGUCGCCUCACGUUGGACGGGAGGAGAUAAGUCAAUCCCCAAUUAAGAUGCACAAUUAAGAUCCCCAAUUAAAUUGGUCACAUCAUUAUGGAAGGGGAAUGAUUGGAUAACAAACUUUAUAGAUUUAGUAUCAUAUCAUUCAUUUGUGACAGCA